UACAGAGGGUGCAAGCGUUGUUCGGAAUUACUGGGCGUAAAGCGCGUGUAGGCGGCGUCGUUAGUCGGAUGUGAAAGCCCUCGGCUCAACCGAGGAAGUGCAUCCGAUACUGCGAUGCUUGAGUAUCGAAGAGGGAAGUGGAAUUUCCGGUGUAGCGGUGAAAUGCGUAGAUAUCGGAAGGAACACCAGUGGCGAAAGCGACUUCCUGGUCGAAUACUGACGUUCAUGUGCGAAAGCGUGGGGAGCAAACAGG
rnacentral:rRNA from 1 species